GAGGUUAUAAGCCUAAAAAUUACCUUCUAAGUAAAUUUUAAGAGGUGCAACUCCUCUUACCUCA
rnacentral:tRNA from 1 species